CGCGGGAUAGUGGAAUGGUUCCACAACAGCCUCAUAAGCUGUAGAAGCCGGUUCAAAUCCGGCUCCCGCAA
rnacentral:tRNA from 1 species